UAUGCCCCUAGAGGCGUUACAUGCAUGACUUGCAAUGUCGUGUGUGUGUCAUUAGGUGGCAGAGAGCAACAGGCUACAUCUACGUUCUGUGUUCAGAAACUACUGACUCGCAGAAUGAUUAAUAGCCUGACAAG